AUAGGGAAGAGCCAUAUCUAUUGAUUUCUUGUGCCGUUUCUAAAAAUAUGCAGAAUGAAUAUUUAAUUUCAUAAGUUCCUAGGCUUAAAAUGACCUUAAUUAUUAAACUGCCUCACUCGUCCCAGGAGUUUGGUUUUGAAUCCAUCCGAUUUUUCAUUCGUUUAAAAGAAAUGCUACCUCUCAGAAAUUAUCAACUAAACAAGUCCUGCUGUUAUUAGAGCAGCUGUCUGUGGACACUUCAGAUGUUUGUUGGAACAAUGAAGCAACGCCUUACCCCCAUAUGUGGAAUGACUGCCUUCUCAGCUCUUGGCAAAAAUUGUGUUGAUAGCAGCCAUCUGGAUGGCCAGGAGACUUUCUCUCGGUUCCGUACAGAAGUGAUAUCGUUUUUCAUAGGGUGGACAGCUUACCUGUGUCCAUGCCGUUUUAUUUAACAAAGGCACGACGUCAAUCACCAGUACUGUGUUCUCGGUUCCAUGUACAUGCUAUAUGCACCAAUGCUGGAUGCGAGGAAGUCUUCUUUUAAGAUGACAAAGUACAAGAAAUUCAAGGCUACAAUGUUGAAAGGUUCUGAAGCAAGUGAUCGCGGUACAACAGAUAAUAUGGAACUUCAACAAGCGCAUAUUAGAAUUCGGAUCCUAUGGAAUCCGACUAACAGACCAAAGAUUUAUUGGAUGAUUUAUGAAGCCUGAAAUAUUAGACUAAACUUAACUUGUCAACUUUGUACAAGAAAAGAAAAAUAUCGGAAUUUUAAAAAUGACCUACAAAGUGGAUUGAAAGUGAAAGAAACGUCUAUUAUCCCUGCAUAUUCCAGGAAAGUGGCUUCUAAGUGAGUCUGAAUUAUGUUGAUUUCUCAUGGUCUGAGUUUCUGGGGAAACCAUAACCAUUACUUCUUACGCUGUUUUCAAGAUAUGAAUAGAAAAAAGAGUGAGAAUUUCAGAUUUUAGAUUAAUAAUAGCAAGAACUUUGGAGAUAAUAUAAAUUUAAAUUACUUUAUUUAAACCUGAAAGUAUUCUGAUAAAUUUCUUCAUGUUUAGUCAUGAAAGAACGUCUUAUGAAUCGAAAAAGAGGCAGAA